CAAAGGGCCAUUCAUCACGCUCCAAAGUGCUGCAAAGGGCUCCCGUGUUCCACCGGAGAAGUGCCUGCGUUCGAAUCCAAGCGAGAAAGUUUUCUCCCUGUGCUUGAGGCCACUCCAGAGAGUAAUGGAGCUUGGCGCUGCUUUAGGAUCCUUUUGGAUGAGUUAUAGGGGCAAGCACCUUGUCAUGCGCCACUCGGUCUCCAGCAAAUCUGGCCCUUCUCGGCCUUGGAAAGCUGUGGAAAACUCAAGAGAGGGAAACCAACUUCUGCCUGCCGAUGAACUCCAUAAAGACCCCUUAAAUGUAGAUGACAUGGUGGAAAACAUCCCAAAACCAUGAGUCUGCAUCUGAGACACAAUGAAAGUCAUUCUAGAUACCUACAGUUCACAUGAGGCAGCAGGGAUUUCUCUCACAGACACUGUGAUCAAGGCAAGCCCAGUCCCAGGGUCGUCCCUGCUUACCGGACCUCAUGCCUAGACGUCUUUUUGGCCACAGGACACUCUCAGAUCCCAAGGACUGCAGAAAGGGGCUGGGGAAGAGCUUCCUCAUCAGGAGCGCCGUGACAGGUAGGUCUGAACGACAAUCUCGGUGGCUUUGGGAUCUCUGCAGGCUUCCCCUGCCCAGCUUGGACAGGUGUGGGUCAUAGAAUCAUAGAAUCAUAGAGUUGUCCAGGCCAGAAGGGACCUCCAAAGGUCAUCUAGUCCGACCUCCCCGCAGUCAGCAGGGACACCCCCAA